AUUCACAGCACGGGGAGUCCGGUAAGACCGGGCUGAGAGGAGGGCGAUCGAGCCCUCGACCCGCAGACCUGAUCCGGGUAAUGCCGGCGGAGGGAUGGCAAGCAACAUCGAA
rnacentral:ncRNA from 2 species